GAUCAGCGGGAGCUCAAGUAACUCCCACAUUUUGAAUCUUAUGCCAUAGAAGAGGAAGAAGGUUCAGGUGGUUACGAAACUGUUUACAGGGCUUGAAGGAAGAACAAUAGAGUUAUAGUUGCCAUUAAAUGCCCUCACGCAUAGGCACAUAGACACCAUAUCAAUAAUGAGAGGAAG